rnacentral:rRNA from 1 species
CCUACGGGUGGCAGCAGUGAGGAAUAUUGGUCAAUGGACGAGAGUCUGAACCAGCCAAGUAGCGUGAAGGAUGACUGCCCUAUGGGUUGUAAACUUCUUUUAUAUGGGAAUAAAAUGUUCCACGUGUGGGAUUUUGUAUGUCCCAUAUGAAUAAGGAUCGGCUAACUCCGUGCCAGCAGCCGCGGUAAUACGGAGGAUCCGAGCGUUAUCCGGAUUUAUUGGGUUUAAAGGGAGCGUAGGUGGAUUGUUAAGUCAGUUGUGAAAGUUUGCGGCUCAACCGUAAAAUUGCAGUUGAAACUGGCAGUCUUGAGUACAGUAGAGGUGGGCGGAAUUCGUGGUGUAGCGGUGAAAUGCUGAGAUAUCACGAAGAACUCCGAUUGCGAAGGCAGUUCACUGGACUGCAACUGACACUGAGGUUCGAAAGUGUGGGUAUCAAACAGGAUUAGAUACCCUUGUAGUC